UUUCCGUAGGUGAACCUGCGGAAGGAUCAUUCACAUGAUAUACCUUUUUCAACAAACUGUGAACUAUAUAUACUAUUCGUGGUCAUCAUUUUUAUGGUGUACUACUGUCAUUCGAUGAACAUUAGAUAGUUGGCUUGUUUUUGUAUUUCUUAACCGAUCUACAUAAAACUUUCUCAGCUGGUUGUUUUGUUGACUAAACAUCAACCUACAAUCACCAAAAACAUAGAAACAACUCUAUGCCCUGGAUAUCUUGGUUCUC
rnacentral:misc_RNA from 1 species